GCACAAGCGGUGGAGCAUGUGGUUUAAUUCGACGCAACGCGAAGAACCUUACCUGGGCUCGAAAUGGAGUGGACCGGAGUGGAAACAUUCCUUCCCCGCAAGGGGCUGCUCUAUAGGUGCUGCAUGGCUGUCGUCAGCUCGUGUCGUGAGAUGUUGGGUUAAGUCCCGCAACGAGCGCAACCCUUAUUACCAGUUGCCAUCAUUAAGUUGGGCACUCAGGUGAGACCGCCUCGGAUAACGGGGAGGAAGGCGGGGAUGACGUCAAGUCCUCAUGGCCUUUAUGUCCAGGGCUACACACGUGCUACAAUGGCCGGUACAAACCGUCGCAAACCCGUGAGGGGGAGCUAAUCGGAAAAAGCCGGCCUCAGUUCGGAUUGUAGUCUGCAACUCGACUACAUGAAGCUGGAAUCGCUAGUAAUCGCGGAUCAGAACGCCGCGGUGAAUACGUUCCCGGGC
rnacentral:rRNA from 1 species